CCUACGGGAGGCAGCAGUGGGGGAUAUUGCACAAUGGGGGGAACCCUGAUGCAGCGACGCCGCGUGAGCGAAGAAGUACCUCGGUAUGUAAAGCUCUAUCAGCAGGGAAGAAAAUGACGGUACCUGACUAAGAAGCCCCGGCUAAAUACGUGCCAGCAGCCGCGGUAAUACGUAUGGGGCAAGCGUUAUCCGGAUUUACUGGGUGUAAAGGGAGCGCAGGCGGCCUGCCAAGUCUGGUGUGAAAACCCGGGGCCCAACCCCGGGCCUGCAUUGGAAACUGGCGGGCUGGAGUGCAGGAGAGGUAAGCGGAAUUCCUGGUGUAGCGGUGAAAUGCGGAGAUAUCAGGAGGAACACCGGCGGCGAAGGCGGCUUACUGGACUGUAACUGACGUUGAGGCUCGAAGGCGUGGGGAGCAAACAGGAUUAGAUACCCCUGUAGUC
rnacentral:rRNA from 1 species